CCUACGGGAGGCAGCAGUAAGGAAUAUUGGUCAAUGGACGCAAGUCUGAACCAGCCAUGCCGCGUGAAGGAUGAAUGCCCUCUGGGUUGUAAACUUCUUUUAUAGGGGACGAAAAAGGGUCUUUUCAGAUCAACUGACGGUACCCUAGGAAUAAGCACCGGCUAACUCCGUGCCAGCAGCCGCGGUAAUACGGAGGGUGCAAGCGUUAUCCGGAUUUACUGGGUUUAAAGGGUGCGUAGGUGGGUUGGUAAGUCAGCGGUGAAAUCUUCGAGCUUAACUCGGAAACUGCCAUUGAUACUACCAGCCUUGAAUAUCCUGGAGGUGAGCGGAAUAUGUCAUGUAGCGGUGAAAUGCUUAGAUAUGGCAUAGAACACCAAUUGCGAAGGCAGCUCACUACGGGAUUAUUGACACUGAGGCACGAAAGCGUGGGGAUCAAACAGGAUUAGAUACCCUGGUAGUCCACGCCCUAAACGAUGGAUACUCGACAUUUGCGAUAUACAGUAAGUGUCUGNGNGAAGANAUAGUAUCCACCGNGGAGACGUAAGUCGCGAGAGUAGUUAAACGUUAAAGUUAAGUUAAGUUAGUUACGGCGUUGAGACGUUGCCGACGGACGACGACGAGGGGAGGUUAGG
rnacentral:rRNA from 1 species